rnacentral:misc_RNA from 1 species
AACGCAUCUUGCGCCCUUUGGUAUUCCGAAGGGCAUGCCUGUUUGAGUGUCAUGAAAACAUCAUCCCAUCGGGUUUCCGAUGACGAUGGAUUUGGGUGUUGCCGUCCGGCUCGCCUCAAAAGCCUUAGUGAUUCCGAGGUCGAAUCUGGCGUAAUAAGUUUCGCUGGCCAAGACCGAGAGGACCGCUCAUAACCCGUCUUCUGACAUUUUUUGCUCUGACCUCAAAUCAGGUAGGACUACCCGCUGAACUUAA